rnacentral:tRNA from 1 species
GGAUCCCUUUGACGGUGGCCCUCGUCUCGGGAUUGGUGACCGCGGUGCUGGGCGGAAUCUGGCUUCCCCUCGGUUCGAUAUCGGGAGAGAUCUGC